CAGCAGCCGCGGGAAUACGUAGGGUGCAAGCGUUAAUCGGAAUUAUUGGGCGUAAAGCGAGUACAGACGGUUACUUAAGCCAGAUGUGAAAUCCCCAAGCUUAACUUGGGACGUGCAUUUGAAACUGGGUGACUAGAGUGUGUCAGAGGGAGGUAGAAUUCCACAUGUAGCGGUGGAAUGCGUAGAGAUGUGGAGGAAUACCGAUGGCGAAGGCAGCCUCCUGGGAUAACACUGACGUUGAGGCUCGAAAGCGUGGGGGGCAAACAGGAUUAGAUACCCGAGUAGUCCCUGUCUCUUAUAC
rnacentral:rRNA from 1 species